GCCGCCAUGCCCUGGAGUUGAGAGAAACAGAGAGCACCGCGCGCGAGAGAGGAAGAAGUGAAGUCGUCGACGUCGCGUCUCGUCCACACCCUCGUUCAAGGAUCCGCUGGUGGUCAAGAAGAUUCGUCGGGGACCACUAAAGCCAUUCAAGGCUUAAGCCUAGCGGGCGGAGAACUUGGCGGGUGGGAAUUCCUCGCCGAACUUUGGAAUAUUGUCGUCAUCUGUGCUUCAUUGAAGACAGUGCUCUUCAUGAGCCAAUAACCGAUAAUAACUCAACUGAAUCAUUCACCUUGGUUUCCUAUAUGUGUAGCAUUCCUCGAUUUGAAGUUUUGUGCGUGGGGUUGAAGAUUGGCUGUCUUUGGCGAUGUCCGCCAUCGUAGCAUCGGGCGGCGCCGCCAAGCUCUCGGCAUGUGCGGGGGAAUGGUCGGGGAUACCGUUGAUAGCAUCAGGAGCGAUGGAGAUUUGAUCACCAUGUACCGAAUCAGUCUGAUCAAUCUGUACCAUAGAUAUUUCAAUGAAUGCACGGGAAUAGAUCCAAGGUGUUUUAAAUCCUAGCCAUCGAUCGUGGAUCAGAUGUGUCACACCCGAUUUUAGGAGCAAAACGAAUGCAUAGCAUAUGUGUGCUAGGAUCCAUUUUCCACACAUAUGUUGACGUCACAAGUGUAAUAU
rnacentral:lncRNA from 1 species